GGGCAGGCCUAAGCGGCUGCCCUGCCCGUAGAGGAUGACGUCAAGCCUCGUUGAGGAGGGGAGGAUGCCAGACACGUAGAAGGGCAGUGAAGCAGGAAGACUACCCCUCUCCGGAAGGAGGAACGCAGAGCACCUGCGCGUUGAGUGGCGGCCACCGUACUAGAACGGUCACGGGGCCGCAAGGAGAGGUCACGUCGCGUCCGAUCUGACACCGCUCAAGAAAGAGGUUGUGUUCGGGACUACUGCCUAGGCCGACGCGGUGCGGAGCAGACGAGACGAACAACGACCUUAGUCCGACGGGGGGACGGUGUAUCGCCGAGCAGGUCUCUUGUGGCCACACGCUAGCCGUCACCCAACAAGAACGAGUUCUAGCUAUACCAUUCUAGGGUGGUUAAAGGUUCUCGCGCUGCUUCCAGGUGGCGCCGCUACUGCGGGGUACGUCAAGUCUUCUCCUAAAAAACAAAAUAAUAGGCUAAAACCUACACGUCAACUACGUCGCACACCAACUGAGUACCCCAUGCGAUACAAAAAAACCAAGCACGGCAAGAUCCGCGUCACGUGGUGGUGUGGCCGGGCCCUGGGGGGAGGUAACGAGGAGAGGGACGACAAGAGGCGACUCCCGUUCGUCACGUGCUCGUCGGGUUCUCACAACGACCUCGUCAAGCGAUGAUUUCAGUGCCAGAUCACAAAAAAAACCUCUUUUUUACUCACCUGAAGUCAAGCGAUAACAGGCAAGGAGGCGAGUAGAAUGAAAGACAACGUCCUAUUCACCUGAAGACAAGAGAUCACCUUAAGUCGUUACUUAAACCUUUCUCAUCACACGAACUACUUACCUUCUUCAGUAUGACAAUAACUAAACUCUUUUUUUUACGUCUUGUUUAAGCCACCAACGGAUCCCGCUCCCUCGGGAGAGGCACCGAGUGACUUCAAACAAAACGUCGAGCGAACGAUUCACUUCAUGCAAGCCGCUGACGCACACCAAGCCGUUCCGUUUAGUAAACGUAAGAGCGAUACAAUUACACACGUCAUGUAAAAUAUUUUUCAACGUCAACCCAACAUAAAACACCCACUAACAUUACACCUCUGUCUUUUUUCCUGAAACACACCUAAUGAAUCAAACAUUUCUUUUUGAAACAUUUUCGUCACGCGAGCUACUUAGCUUCUUCAUGUAAAAAAGUUU
rnacentral:rRNA from 1 species